rnacentral:lncRNA from 1 species
UUUAUUGUUUUUAUUUUACGUUGGAUACUAUUAUUACGUUUAAUAUAUCGCAUGCAUUGUUAUUGUUUUAAUAUUUUGUCAUAUUUAUUAUUUGUUUCAAUGUAUUUCCAACUCGUUUAUUUUUUGUCUCCCGCCCAUUUUAUAUCAUUCUGUUGUUCAUUACUUUAAAGAUUUUUAUUCAUGUUUUUACUAAUUUCAAUAAAUAAGGCAAUGUUUCGCAUUCUGGAACGUCGAAGAAUUGUGCCCU